GUCAAGUUACUAAGAGCAUACGGUGGAUGCCUUGGCGUCAGAAGGCGAUGAAGGACGUGGUUAAGCUGCGAUAAGCCUCGGGGAGUUGCACGCAAGCUUAGAUCCGAGGAUGUCCGAAUGGGGAAACCCGGCGCGGGUCAUACUGCGUCAUCAGCGGUUGAACACAUAGACCGUUGAAGCUAACGGGGAGAACUGAACCAUCUCAGUACCCCUAGGAAGAGAAAGCAAUUGCGAUUCCCUGAGUAGUGGUGAGCGAAAAGGGAACAGCCUAAACCGGUCGUAUGUAAUAGCCUGCAUGCGUUGUACGAUCGGGGUUGUGGGAUUCAAACGGAUCAGGAUGCAGACCGAUCGGAGAGUUACAAAUGUCUUGGUUAGCCGAAUUGUUGUGGAAACUCAAACCAUAGACGGUGAUAGUCCGGUAGGCGAAAAUCAUAGACACUCUCUGGUAUGAAUUCCCAAGUACCGCGGGACACGGGAAAUCCCGUGGGAAUCUAGGAGGACCACCUUCUAAGGCUAAAUACUCUCUGACGACCGAUAGUGAACCAGUACCGUGAGGGAAAGGUGAAAAGUACUCCUGACGGAGGGUGAAAUAGAUCCUGAAACCGUAUGCUUACAAGCUGUAGGAGGAAAGGCCGGGAUAACCCGCAGUGUCAGCUCUUCGGAGUAGACGCAUGGGCCCCGGUUGGACUGACUGCGUGCCUUUUGCAUAAUGAACCGGUGAGUUACUUGUAUGUAGCAAGGUUAAGUUCUUAAGGAACGGAGCCGUAGCGAAAGCGAGUCUGAAUAGGGCGCCAUAGUUGCAUGCAGUAGACCCGAAGCCGAGCGAUCUAUCCAUGGCCAGGGUGAAGCGUGUCUAACCGCACGUGGAGGCCCGAACCCACUAACGUUGAAAAGUUAGGGGAUGAGCUGUGGAUAGGGGUGAAAGGCCAAUCAAGCUCGGAGAUAGCUGGUUCUCCCCGAAAUAGCUUUAGGGCUAGCCUCGUAGUAGAGUGGUGGAGGUAGAGCACUGAAUGGGCUAGCGGGCCUACAAGCUUAGCAAACCCAACCAAACUCCGAAUGCCAUUAACUUGUUCUACGGGAGUCAGGUUAUGGGGGAUAAGCUCCAUAACCAAGAGGAUAACAAACCAGAUCGUCAGCUAAGGUCCCCAAGUGUAAGCUAAGUGAUUAAGGUUGUGGAGUUGCUCAGACAACUGGGAUGUUGGCUUAGAAGCAGCCAUCAUUUAAAGAAAGCGUAACAGCUCACCAGUCUAGUGAUUUUGCGCCGACAAUUUAUCGGGGCUCAAGCUUACCACCGAAGCUGCGGGAUUGUCAGGCCCUUUGGGGUUUGAUGAUCGGUAGGGGAGUAUUCUAUAUUAGGUUGAAGGUCGACCGUGAGGCCGACUGGACGAGGUAGAAGAGAUCAUGCCGGUACGAGUAGCGAUAAAAGGGGUGAGAAUCCCCUUCACCGAAAGCCUAAGGUUUCCUGAGGAAGGAUCGUCCGCUCAGGGUUAGUCGGACCCUAAGCCGAGGCCGAAAGGCGUAGGCGAUGGAAAACAGGUCAAAAUUCCUGUACCGCUAAAUAGGCGACUAAGACGCGAUGGGGGAACGCAGAAGUGAAAGGUCAGCCAGCGACUGGAAAUGCUGGUCCAAGCCAGUAGGAGGUCCACGUAGGCAAAUCCGCGAGGGCAUUACUCCGAGAGGCGAGUGGGAAACGAGCCUUCGGGCAAGCCAACUGACCCUAAUCAUGCUGCCAAGAAAAGCCUCUAAGCGAGUCUGUUUAGCGACCGUACCGCAAACCGACACAGGUAGGCAGGUAGAGAAUACUAAGGUGCGCGAGUGAGUCCUCGUUAAGGAACUAGGCAAUCUAGCUCCGUAACUUUGGGAGAAGGAGUGCCCCUACGUAGGUGAUCCCUCAUGCAGGGUGAGCCAAACGGGGUCGCAGUGACCAGGCCCAAGCGACUGUUUACUAAAAACACAGGUCUCUGCUAAGUCGUAAGACGAUGUAUAGGGACUGACACCUGCCCGGUGCCGGAAGGUUAAAGGGCGAGGUUAGCCUUCGGGCGAAGCUUCAAACUGAAGCCCCGGUAAACGGCGGCCGUAACUAUAACGGUCCUAAGGUAGCGAAAUUCCUUGUCGGGUAAGUUCCGACCUGCACGAAUGGUGUAACGACUUGGGCGCUGUCUCAACGAGGAGCUCGGCGAAACUGUAGCUCCGGUGAAGAUGCCGGAUACCCGCGACAGGACGGAAAGACCCCGUGAACCUUUACUGUAGCUUGAUAUUGGGUUUCGUCAAUGCAUGUGUAGGAUAGGUGGGAGGCUGUGAACGGAGGGCGCUAGCUUUUCGGGAGCCGACCUUGAAAUACCACCCUUGUGUUGUUGGAAUUCUAACUUCGAUCCGUGAAUCCGGAUGAAAGACAGUGUCAGGUGGGCAGUUUGACUGGGGCGGUCGCCUCCAAAAAAGUAACGGAGGCGCCCAAAGGUUCCCUCAGCACGGUCGGUAAUCGUGCGUAGAGUGUAAAGGCAUAAGGGAGCCUGACUGUGAGACAGACAAGUCGAACAGACACGAAAGUGGGGCUUAGUGAUCCGACGGUUCCUUGUGGAAGGGCCGAAGCUCAACGGAUAAAAGGUACUCCGGGGAUAACAGGCUUAUCUCCCCCGAUAGUCCACAUAAACGGGGAGGUUUGGCACCUCGAUGUCGGCCCAUCGCAUCCUGGGGCUGGAGAAGGUCCCAAGGGUUCGGCUGUUCGCCGAUUAAAGCGGUACGCGAGCUGGGUUUAGAACGUCGUGAGACAGUUCGGUCCCUAUCCGUCGCGGGCGUAGGACAUUUGAGAGGAGCUGUUCCUAGUAUGAGAAGACCGGAAUGGACGAACCUCUAGUUUACCAGUUGUAGCGCCAGCUGCAUCGCUGGGUAGCUAUGUUCGGCAGGGAUAACCGCUGAAAGCAUCUAAGCGGGAAGCCCACCUCAAGACGAGAUGUCCCGUAGCGUAAGCUCCUGAAGGCUCCUUGAAGAUUACAAGGUCGAUAGGCCAGAGGUGUAAGUGGUGAGGUAACGAGCCAUUCAGCCGACUGGUACUAAUAGCCGUGCGGCUUGAC
rnacentral:rRNA from 1 species